AACGAUAUAUAAUAUUUUCUUCAUAUAAUAUUGGGGAUAUGGCCCGAAAGUUUCUACCUAAUGACCGUAAAUCGUUAGACUAUGAAGAGAAGCAAAUAUACU
rnacentral:ncRNA from 2 species